GACAAUUAGAUUGAUUAUACCUGAAAUGCAAGAAAAGUUCUGUAAUGUGCAAAUAUGCUAGCCCGGCUGAUUGCUGAUAAUUACCCCCCUUCUACCCUGUGUGCAGUGACUAAUAAAAUAAAUCUGGAUGAGAAUACUGUCCAUAUUUAAUUCAGUGGCAUGGGGGGAAAAUAACAUAAAUACAAUUUGGGGGCAUCCCUGUAUGUUUAAAACCCACCAUCACAGGGCCCAUCCUGCAAAGAUCACUGAAGUUUCAGUCUCACAUUUGCCCCAAGAUUAUGGGUGGUUAAGUAAACCCUAUAGAAGGACCA